rnacentral:rRNA from 1 species
AGCGAACGCUGGCGGCAGGCUUAACACAUGCAAGUCGAGCGGGCAUCUUCGGAUGUCAGCGGCAGACGGGUGAGUAACACGGGGGGACGUACCCUUCGGUUCGGAACAACUCUGGGAAACUGGAGCUAAUACCGGAGACGCCCUUAUGGGGAAAGGUUUUCUGCCGUAGGAUCGGCCCGCGUCAGAUUGGCUAGUUGGUGGGGUAACGGGCUACCAAGGCGACGAUCAGUAUAUGGUCUGUGAGGAUGAUCCGACACACUGGUACUGAGACGCGGCACAGACUCCUCCGGGAGGCAGCAGUGCGGAAUAUUGGACAGUGGGCGCAAGCCUGAACCAGCCAUGCCGCGUAAGUGAUGAAGGCCUUAGGGUUGUAAAGCUCUUUUGUCCGGGACGAUAAUGACGGUACCGGAAGAAUAAGCCCCGGCUAACUUCGUG